UGUCUGGUAUCUGUCAUUAUUGUCAUAGUGCUGUUGAUUGACAUUAAUCUGCUGUUGUACUAAUGACCCAUUUCAUGUUGGAUCUCCAGAGUUGUAGGCGUGGCUGAUAUUGGUAUGCAUGGAGCUCUUUGCCGGAGAAAUCUAAAGGCAUGAAUAAGCCAAUGGGAGC
rnacentral:lncRNA from 1 species